rnacentral:lncRNA from 1 species
UUGGGUCCACAGGGUUUGGAGAAAGACAGGAAAAGUAAAAAAAGCAAAAAAAAAAAAAACUUUGCUCACCAUCUCCCUUAGGCAAAAGUUUUCAUAGACUUUUAACAUGGAAACUACUUAAUUCCAUCACCUCCAAAAUCCAGCCAUGAACACCUGUGAAACCACACCCCUUUUUACAGCUGAAAAUCAGUCCAAAUCUACCACCUUUUAGCUCCAAAAAUCAGCCUAUUUCACCUCCUAAAACACAGCUGAAAACAGCCGCUAAUCCCUGCCCAAAACACCAUCCGAACAGCCAUGAAAAUCGGUAAAAAAAAGCUUUAUUUUCACUCUAUAAAUCAGCUGGUAAAUAUCCCAAAAAUCAUGGUCAAACGAGGUCAGUCAAGGUCGCGGGAAAUUUUCCGUUUGUGGUCAAAAUUACCCUUAGAUCAAGUUCCAUAACUCAUAAGCUUUUAUAUAGAUUUUCGUUGCCCCUAAGGUUCGUCCUCUCACCUCCUACUUCAAUAAAAUUUCUGCCUUGUUUAGCAAAUCUCCUAUUGCUCAUGGUCUAAUUGUUUCAGUUGAAUUUAUUGUGUUAAGAUAUGAGUUUGCAUUUAAUAGUUUGGGGUUUCAAUAGUUUGAGAAAUUUGGUAUUAUGCUUACUCAACUUCAAUAAUCUUGCUAUUUGUGGAAAAGUUUGAUAUAUAAAGUUUGAAAUCUGAAAAGCUUACUCAAGACCCACUUUCUUGUUCAUAAUUAUAUUUUCAUUUCUAAUAUAUUUUAGUUGUGUUUAUUUCAUUAGCCUUGCAUACAAAAAUUAUUUCAUGUUGGCUACUCUAUUUGGAUACUUUUACAAAUUGCCGAGAACAUUGAAAGGGAUAAGAAUUUUUGUCCAUGUGUUUUAAGAUUAAAAGGGUAAAGGGCGAAUUGGAAAAUUAAUUGCUAAGGAAAAUGAGGUAGUGGAUUACUUUGGUGAAAUCAAGAAGCGGAUUAUAAAAUUCGGGAUUUGUUUGGUUGCAUAAGAAUUAAAUUUGGACUCGAAUGAGGCCUUUCCACCGAGAAGUCCAUUUUGAGUAUUAGGUUGUCACCUUUGAGGUAAGUAUCUUGUCUAACCUUGUGUGAGGGAUUUUUCUUUAGGAUUUGAGUUUUCUCUGUUAAUUGUAUUAUGUGUACGUGAGGUGACGAGUGCGUGCUCGGAUUUAUUUGUGAUAAAUUAUCAAUUUUAGGCUCUUAGAUUCUUGAAAUCACCGAGUAUGAAGAUGAUAUUGAUACGAUUGUGUUCCCUGUUCACCUCUACAUGUCUUACUUGGUAUUUGUUUGCCCUUCUAGAUUUAUUCUUUCUGUUUAAUUGAAUUUUACGUGUCUAACUGAAAAAACAAUUACCCUUCUAUAGUCAUAUUAUAUGUCCUAACUACUCGCCUUUAAUUGGAAAUCAUAAAUGUUAUAUCUAAUAUAAUUAGCCGGUCUUAAUUGGAAAGAUGAUAGAUAUCUUAUGACUAAUUGAUAUUUCCAUAAAUUGUAAUUAUUUGAUUCAUUUUAACUUUCUUACUGUUGGAUACUCCUUGACUGUAAGUUCAUCUGUGACUUCGUGCAAAUAUAUUACAUGUCCAACCGUUGUGGUAUCAGUGUAGUUAUUAUGCGCUUAUUAUGUCUUAUUUGUCGUUGAGGUUAUUGUGUUUUUCCUUGGUGUUCCGUGACCUUAUUAGCUAUUGUUGAUUCCCUUGCCGGGACGUUAUUGUUUUUUGUUGUUGACUCCCUUGUCGGGAUGUUAUUGUCUUCCAUUGUAGACUCCCUUGUCGGGAUAUUGCUAUUCUAUUGUUUGGGUUGUACAUCUAUGUUGAUUGCGCUGUAUUACGGGAUACCAGGAGAUCCUCAGCAUAUAUAUUGAGAAAACCAAGAGAUACUCGGGAUACCAAGAGAUCCCCAGUACAUCAUCGGGAUACCAAGAGAUCCCUAGUAUAUAUAUAUAUUGAGGAUACCAGGAGAUCCUCGGGAUACCAGGUAAUACCCAGUACAUCUAUACCAAGAGAUCCCUAGUACAUGUAUUGAGGAUACCAAGAGAUCCUAGGGAUACCAAGAGAUCUCUAACACACAUAUUUAUGUUUGAGACUACAGGACGAUAUACUGGGAGAUCCCCAUUAAACUCAUUAUGUUCUGAACUGAUGUUUUCAUUGAUUCUAUCCGGAUGCGAAUAAUUCGGGUGCUGGUCGUUCCAUUUCUUAUACUUACUAGUUGGUAGAAUUUUUGUUAGAUAUACUUGCACAAGCAUACACAUAGUUGGACGCUCUUAUUAAAGAUGAAUCCCUCCUGAUUUGACUAGGUGUGGAGAUACGCCCUCGUUUACCCAUUAUAUAUGUGAGAGUGGCCCUAGUUAACUAGUUAGUUGUUAGCAUGACCGUGAGACUGAUGGGGCACAAGAUUCCAAGUGUUAGACUUCAGAUGCUAGGUUUUCAUGAGUUGUGACUGGUCCGAGAUGUUUGGUAAAAUUGUGGAAAGAGUUGAAAAGACCUUAUGUAAGCAUCAUUGUAGAAUAAUGAGUUAGAAACUUAUUUGUCCUUGCUGUGUUAUGACCUUAAAUUUGGACUAUGAUUUUGCAGUCAUUUCGCAUCAUCAUUUAUUAUAUUCUCGUUGUUACUUGUUGCCCUUUUCCUUUAUUGUGAUUUAUAGCAUUUAGUCAUUCAUGCAGUCUUUACAUAAUUAUAUAUCGUUUCCAUUAUCCCUAUGAUUAUACUUUUUAUUGACCGGUAGGUGUCUUGACUGUUCCUCGUCACUACUCCAUCGAGGUUAGUCUUGAUUAUUACUGGGCACCGCUGUGGUGUGCUCAUGCUACUCUUCUGCACACUUUUGUCGUGCAGAUACAGGUAACCCCCAUUUAGUUCUGUCAGCCUUGGAGGGUGGUGUAUCGGUAGAGACUUCGAGGCAUAUCUGCUGCGUUCGUAGACCGAGGAGUCCCUUCCAGCUUUCUGUAAUAAAUAUAAUCCUUCCAGUAUUUCUCCUUAUAUAGACAUUGUUGAGUCAGAGCUUUUUAUGUAUCCCUUAACUUGUGAUUUGUGAGAUUCCGGGUUUUGGGAGCUUUGUUUAGCUAUGAGAGUUGAUAUUGUAUGUGCCAGGUGACACCUUGAUCAUUGAUUUAUUUAUUUGGUUCAGUUUAAUUGUUUUCUUCCGCAACUGAUUAAAUUUUCGUAUUUGUUAGGCUUACCUAGUUAUAGCGAUUAGGUGCCAUCACGACAUGUUCACGGAGGGCGAAUUGGGGUCGUGACAAUAGUAUAGUCAAAAUUUUCUAUUACAAUUAGCUUUCAUUACCGUAUUCACUAUAAUGGCCAACUUUUUUUGGAAUCGAUUUUUUAUAGUAUCUUAUAUUAUAUGUUUUUUAUAAUAGCAUUUUGUCAUGUCUGCACAAAUAACGUUGUUAUAGAAAUAUUUUAUUGUAGUUAUUUUAUUCGUAUC